rnacentral:rRNA from 1 species
AAUGGCCCAUUGUCAAAACAGUUUACUGCCACGGGAUGUUCCUGCAGCCUAUCAGCUUGUUGGUGAGGUAAUGGCCCACCAAGGCUAUAACAGGUACGGGCUCUGAGAGGAGAAGCCCGGAGAUGGGUACUGAGACACGGACCCAGGCCCUAUGGGGCGCAGCAGGCGAGAAACCUUAGCAAUGUGCGAAAGCACGACUGGGUCAGUCCGAGUGAUUUCUGAUAAAGGAAUCUUUUGCCCGUCCUAAAAGCACGGGCGAAUAAGGGGUGGGCAAGUCUGGUGUCAGCCGCCGCGGUAAUACCAGCACCUCGAGUGGUCAGGACGAUUAUUGGGCCUAAAGCAUCCGUAGCUGGUUUUGCAAGUCUCCGGUUAAAUCCACCUGCUUAACAGAUGGGCCGCUGGAGAUACUACAAGACUAGGGAGUGGGAGAGGCAGACGGUAUUCGGGGGGUAGGGGUAAAAUCCUCUGAUCCUUUGAGGA